rnacentral:rRNA from 1 species
GAUGAACGCUGGCGGCGUGCCUAAUACAUGCAAGUCGAGCGAACAGAUGAGGAGCUUGCUCCUCUGACGUUAGCGGCGGACGGGUGAGUAACACGUGGAUAACCUACCUAUAAGACUGGGAUAACUUCGGGAAACCGGAGCUAAUACCGGAUAAUAUAUUGAACCGCAUGGGUCAAUAGUGAAAGACGGUUUUGCUGUCACUUAUAGAUGGAUCCCGGCCGCAUUAGCUAGUUGGUAAGGUAACGGCUUACCAAGGCAACGAUGCGUAGCCGACCUGAGAGGGUGAUCGGCGACACGGGAGGUUAGACAGGGUCCAGGCUCCUACGGGAGGCAGCAGUAGGGAACCGUCCGCAAUGGGCGAAAGCUUGACGGAGCAACGCCGCGUGAGUGAUGAAGGUCUUCGGAGCGUAAAACUCUGUUAUGAGUGAAGAACAAAUGUGUAAGUAACUAUGCACGUAUUGACGGUACCUGAUCAGAAAGCCACGGCUAACUACGUG